rnacentral:rRNA from 1 species
GCUCAGGACGAACGCUGGCGGCGUGCCUAAUACAUGCAAGUCGAACGCUUCUUUUUCCACCGGAGCUUGCUCCACCGGAAAAAGAGGAGUGGCGAACGGGUGAGUAACACGUGGGUAACCUGCCCAUCAGAAGGGGAUAACACUUGGAAACAGGUGCUAAUACCGUAUAACAAUCRAAACCGCAUGGUUUUGAUUUGAAAGGCGCUUUCGGGUGUCGCUGAUGGAUGGACCCGCGGUGCAUUAGCUAGUUGGUGAGGUAACGGCUCACCAAGGCCACGAUGCAUAGCCGACCUGAGAGGGUGAUCGGCCACAUUGGGACUGAGACACGGCCCAAACUCCUACGGGAGGCAGCAGUAGGGAAUCUUCGGCAAUGGACGAAAGUCUGACCGAGCAACGCCGCGUGAGUGAAGAAGGUUUUCGGAUCGUAAAACUCUGUUGUUAGAGAAGAACAAGGAUGAGAGUAACUGUUCAUCCCUUGACGGUAUCUAACCAGAAAGCCACGGCUAACUACGUGCCAGCAGCCGCGGUAAUACGUAGGUGGCAAGCGUUGUCCGGAUUUAUUGGGCGUAAAGCGAGCGCAGGCGGUUUCUUAAGUCUGAUGUGAAAGCCCCCGGCUCAACCGGGGAGGGUCAUUGGAAACUGGGAGACUUGAGUGCAGAAGAGGAGAGUGGAAUUCCAUGUGUAGCGGUGAAAUGCGUAGAUAUAUGGAGGAACACCAGUGGCGAAGGCGGCUCUCUGGUCUGUAACUGACRCUGAGGCUCGAAAGCGUGGGGAGCAAACAGGAUUAGAU